rnacentral:rRNA from 1 species
CAGUCGCCGCGGUAAUACGUAGGUGGCAAGCGUUGUCCGGAAUUAUUGGGCGUAAAGGGCUCGCAGGCGGUUUCUUAAGUCCGAUGUGAAAGCCCCCGGCUCAACCGGGGUGGGUCAUUGGAAACUGGGAAACUUGAGUGCAGAAGAGGAGAGUGGAAUUCCACGUGUAGCGGUGAAAUGCGUAGAGAUGUGGAGGAACACCAGUGGCGAAGGCGACUCUCUGGUCUGUAACUGACGCUGAGGAGCGAAAGCGUGGGGAGCGAACAGGAUUAGAUACCCCUGUAGUCCCUGUCUCUUAUAC